rnacentral:rRNA from 1 species
AUACAUCGGAAUCUGCCUUGUUGUGGGGGAUAACGUAGGGAAACUUACGCUAAUACCGCAUAAGACCUGAGGGUGAAAGCGGGGGACCGCAAGGCCUCGCGCGACAAGAUGAGCCGAUGUCCGAUUAGCUAGUUGGCGGGGUAAAGGCUCACCAAGGCGACGAUCGGUAGCUGGUCUGAGAGGAUGAUCAGCCACACUGGAACUGAGACACGGUCCAGACUCCUACGGGAGGCAGCAGUGGGGAAUAUUGGACAAUGGGGGCAACCCUGAUCCAGCCAUGCCGCGUGUGUGAAGAAGGCCUUCGGGUUGUAAAGCACUUUUGUCCGGGAAGAAAUCUCACGAUUUAAUACGUCGGGAGGAUGACGGUACCGGAAGAAUAAGCACCGGCUAACUUCGUGCCAGCAGCCGCGGUAAUACGAAGGGUGCAAGCGU